AAUCUCUCCUCUUUAUAAUAUCAGUAUAGAUAUAUCUAUAUCAUAAACAACCAGUUACACAUGAAUGAAUAUUUGACAUUGAAUUUAAAAACAAAAAAGUGCAUUCAUUUAAAUUAACCAAUGGAACAAGUUACAAGAACAAACAUCUUAACGUAACGCCCUUGAAGAUUCUUUCUUACGCUAGUUUUAGAAGAUAUAUAUCUACAAUUGGUGACAAUUCGUGUCAGACAAUCAUCAGCCGCUGUCUUGUGUUUAUUUGAGAGAAAUUUCUAGAAAAUGCCAGCACCUUGUGAACCUUGUAAAGAUACGUGCAAUGAUGAAGCUUGCAACGACGACUGCAAUUGUGAAACGAAUUGUGAUGAUUGUUCUACAAAAGGAAAAUGCUGUUAAAAUUGUACCUAUGCUGAGAUGCUUGGACUAUGCUGUAUAACUAUAUAAAUAUGAAUUAAUAAAUUAUUUUGUUUCUGAACAAUAAAUAAGUGCUUAAAUGUA